GACGGAGGUUGCAAGCGUUAUUCGGAAUCAUUGGGCGUAAAGAGCGUGUAGGCGGCCGGUUAAGUCAGGUGUGAAAGCCCGGGGCUCAACCUCGGAAGUGCACUUGAAACUGGUCGGCUUGAGUUCGGGAGAGGGAAGCGGAAUUCCUGGUGUAGAGGUGAAAUUCGUAGAUAUCAGGAGGAACACCGGUGGCGAAGGCGGCUUCCUGGACCGAAACUGACGCUGAGACGCGAAAGCGUGGGGAGCAAACAGG
rnacentral:rRNA from 1 species